rnacentral:rRNA from 1 species
UACCGGGCGACCGGAUGCGGAUCUCGAAAGCCUGUCCCAGUUCGGACUGGAGUCUGCAACCCGACUCCACGAAGUUGGAUUCGCUAGUAAUCGCGCAUCAGCCAUGGCGCGGUGAAUACGUUCCCGGGCCUUGUACACACCGCCCGUCAAGCCAUGGGAGCCGGGAGUGCCUGAAGUAUGCAACCGCAAGGAGCGUCCUAAGGUAAAACCGGUGACUGGGGCUAAGUCGUAACAAGGUACC